rnacentral:rRNA from 1 species
AUUGAACGCUAGCGGCAGGCCUAACACAUGCAAGUCGAACGAGUGGCGGACGGGUGAGUAAUGUCUGGGAAACUGCCUGAUGGAGGGGGAUAACUACUGGAAACGGUAGCUAAUACCGCAUACCAUCGGAUGUGCCCAGAUGGGAUUAGCUAGUUGGUGGGGUAAAGGCUCACCAAGGCGACGAUCCCUAGCUGGGCUGAGAGGAUGACCAGCCACACUGGGACUGAGACACGGUCCAGACUCCUACGGGAGGCAGCAGUGGGGAAUAUUGCACAAUGGGCGCAAGCCUGAUGCAGCCAUGCCGCGUGUAUGAAGAAGGCCUUCGGGUUGUAAAGUACUUUCGGCGGAGAAGCGUUACCCGCAGAAGAAGCACCGGCUAACUCCGUGCCAGCAGCCGCGGUAAUUC